rnacentral:ncRNA from 1 species
CCGCUACUUCCACCACCACGCCGUCGUGCUGCUGGAUCUCCAUCAACCUCUCCUUCCCCCUUGCUGGAUCAAGAAGGAGGAGAUGUCGCUGCUCCGUACGUGUGUUGAACGCGGAGGUGCCGUCCGUUCGGCACUCGGUCAUCGGUGAUUUGGAUCACGGCGAGUACGACUCCAUCAACCCCGUUCAUUGGAACGCUUCUGCUCGCGAUCUACAAGGGUAUGUAGAUGCACUCCUCUCCCCUCGUUGCUAGUAUACUCCAUAGAUGGAUCUUGGUGAUGCGUAGGAAAUUUUAAAAUUCUGCUAUGAUCCCCAACAGUAUGGGGGCUGACGCCUACUCAGUGCCGGAAGGUCAAGGAAGUUGGUGAACUGAUGAUAGGGAAGCCGGUGACCGAAGCCCCGGUGAACGGCGGCCGUAACUAUAACGGUCCUAAGGUAGUGAAAUUCCUUGUCGGGUAAGUUCCGACCCGCAUGAAAGGCGUAACGAUCUGGGAACUGUCUCGGAGAGAGGCUCGGUGAAAUAGACAUGUCUGUGAAGAUGCGGACUACCUGCACCUGGACAGAAAGACCCUAUCAAGCUUUACUGUUCCCUGGGAUUGGCUUUGGGCCUUUCCUGCGCAGCUUAGGUGGAAGGCGAAGAAGGCGCCCUUCGGGGGGCCCGAGCCAUCAGUGAGAUACCACUCUGGAAGAGCUCGGAUUCUAACCUUGUGUCAGACCCGCGGGCCAAGGGACAGUCUUAGGUAGACAGUUUCUAUGGGGCGUAGGCCUCCCAAAAGGUAACGGAGGCGUGCAAAGGUUUCCUCGGGCCAGACGGACAUUGGUCCUCGAGUGCAAAGGCAGAAGGGAUCUUGACUGCUAGACUCACCCUUAUCCAUUAAUAGAUGGAACUUCAACAAUAGCUAAGUCUAGAGGGAAGUUGUGAGCAUUACUUUCAUGUAUUACUUCCAUACCAAGGUUAGCACGGUUGAUGAUAUCAGCCCAAGUAUUAAUAACGCGACCUUGACUAU